rnacentral:rRNA from 1 species
AGCAGUAGCCGCGGUAAUACGUAGGGUGCAAGCGUUAAUUGGAAUUACUGGGCGUAAAGCGUGCGCAGGCGGUUAUAUAAGACAGAUGUGAAAUCCCCGGGCUCAACCUGGGAACUGCAUUUGUGACUGUAUAGCUAGAGUACGGCAGAGGGGGAUGGAAUUCCGCGUGUAGCAGUGAAAUGCGUAGAUAUGCGGAGGAACACCGAUGGCGAAGGCAAUCCCCUGGGCCUGUACUGACGCUCAUGCACGAAAGCGUGGGGAGCAAACAGGAUUAGAUACCCCGGUAGUCCCUGUCUCUUAUAC